UGAAAGGAUAGUGACUAACGAAAAUUCGUGGGCCAGUUCUCCGGGUAUUUCUGAAGAUAGGGGUAGCAUAGAAGAAUUUCUUGAGGAGGUCAAGGAAAGACUGAACUGUGAAUUGCAAGGAACAAAUUCCAAGAGGAGCAUUACUGUCAGGGGAGGAGGGAUUGAGACCCCUUAUAGUGAAAGGUCACCAGAUGCGAAGCA
rnacentral:misc_RNA from 1 species